rnacentral:rRNA from 1 species
CAGUAGCCGCGGUAAUACGAAGGGGGCUAGCGUUGCUCGGAAUUACUGGGCGUAAAGGGAGCGUAGGCGGACAUUUAAGUCAGGGGUGAAAUCCCGGGGCUCAACCUCGGAAUUGCCUUUGAUACUGGGUGUCUUGAGUAUGAGAGAGGUAUGUGGAACUCCGAGUGUAGAGGUGAAAUUCGUAGAUAUUCGGAAGAACACCAGUGGCGAAGGCGACAUACUGGCUCAUUACUGACGCUGAGGCUCGAAAGCGUGGGGAGCAAACAGGAUUAGAUACCCGCGUAGUCCCUGUCUCUUAUAC